ACCCCGGGGGGGCUAGGAGACUGAAGCUAUGUUUAGAGAUAGUGUAUGGGGUAAGGUGCCCCAUUAGUGGGAGAAGCUGUCUAGGGCCAGAGGCCUAGAAGAGACUCCUGUCUGAGUAGGGGAGAGGAUUUAAAGGCCUGGUGAGCUGAAGAAUGUGGCAAAGAGGACACCCCGGCAUCCUUCACCUCACAAGUAACUGGACAGUGAGUUUGCUUCCUGAAAAGGGCCCGAUUGAAAACGCUGGGGAGAACUUUGGGUGAGACGCUCCUUUAGUGACCUGCUCGUGUAGUUCCCAGAGACUGCCGGCCUCCUUGGUUGAAGAACCCGUCUGCCUCAGCUUGCAGGAGCUCCAGUCCCUUGUCUGUCCACUGAUGGAUGACACGGUGGCUUCUUCUCUCCCCUUAUAUCGUCCCAAAUUCACUGAUUUGUCCCUAGACUUGGGGAGACCUCAUGCUGUUCUUCCUCGCCUGGGGACUUCCCAUCUCUGUUGAGUCACAUGUAAAUGGGGCUUCCCUUGGUUUGGGUCACACCUUGCUUAAUUUCACUGUAUAGAAGCUGUACCAAUUUGCCUUGUCCUCUUAG